rnacentral:snoRNA from 1 species
GUUGAGGCUAGACUUACAUCCUGGCAUUUUCAUUGUCCUGUUGUGCUAUAGUACUCUUGAGGAGAAACUUUGUUGCUUAUUCAUAGGCUGUGGCCUAGUCAAUCACCGGUUCAAAUACAGAU